AUGGAGGCCAUAAAUAACGGUUUCAGCGACAAUUCCCGCAGCCAACAACUGGAUGACGAAGAUAUGCUCAGCACCCUCACUGAUGAUAUCUUACUGUCAAUCUUGGGGAGAGUCAGUUCAGUUGUGGCUACAAGGACAAGUGUGCUCUCUACACGGUGGAGGCAUCUGCCUUGGUUGCUGCCUGAACUCAGCAUCGAUGUCAAGGAUUUCCUAUCUGCUCCGUGUGCUGAACCUAUUGAGGCAAAUGAUAUGGAACAAACUAUGGCGUCUUUAACCAAAGCAACCAGGAGUUUGUUGGAUAAACAACAGAGAGAAUCCAGUAUCUCAAGUUUGCACCUUGACCUCUAUUUGAUCAGCAAUUUCCUUUGUGAAGUUGGCCAACUGAUAGGUGAUGCAAUCGACAAUGGUUUGUUGAAAGAUUUGGAUCUCACCGUUCUUGAUGAGAUGGAGCCUCUCGACUGUAGCGAGGAAGAGCUGCAACAGCGAGCACAAGACAUAGAUGCUUUUUUCACUGCCUACCCUAGUGUGCUCCUCUGCCUCACAAAGCUCUCUCUAAAAAAUGUAGGCUUUGACAAAUUGGACAUGCACCAUCUCCUGUUUGACUGCUGCAAGCAACUGACGCAUCUAACUCUUCAUCAUUGUGAUACCGGUUCCUUCUCUCUCUUUAAAAUCGAUGCACCGGGCUCAAGACUCCGUGUUCUAGAAAUCGAGAAGUGUCGCUUUCUGAAAAUCGACCUGGUGUGCCUCCCAAAAUUAGAGAAGUUCUUAUGGGAGACCUGGGUAUCUCAGGUUGCCCCAUUGACCUUUGGUUUUGUCCCAUCUCUUGGGGAAUUAGAACUCUCAAGUGCUUCGAAUUGUCAGCAACGCUUAUUUAGAUUAAGUGAGCUUCUACACGGAGUAAGAGGCAUACAUACUCUCACAUUGGAUUUCCAAGGAGAAACCCUUUGGUUGCAACCUGAAAUGGAGGAACUCUGCACCGCAUUCAGCAAGCUAAGGAAGCUGUUCAUACGUGGUAUAUUUGUUGAAUUUGACAUUUUAUGGAUGACAGCUUUUCUUGUAGCAGCACCAUCUAUCGAAAUGUUGCAUAUUGAGAGGUAUGGGAACAUACAUGCGAUGUGGGCGAGGCCAGGCUUGCUACCUACCAUGAAAGAAGGAAUCCUCAAUGGGAAAUGCACUUGGACAGGAGCUCCGACAACAUGCUUCUGA
rnacentral:rRNA from 1 species